rnacentral:rRNA from 1 species
UAGGGAAUCUUCGGCAAUGGACGGAAGUCUGACCGAGCAACGCCGCGUGAGUGAAGAAGGUUUUCGGAUCGUAAAGCUCUGUUGUAAGAGAAGAACGAGUGUGAGAGUGGAAAGUUCACACUGUGACGGUAUCUUACCAGAAAGGGACGGCUAACUACGUGCCAGCAGCCGCGGUAAUACGUAGGUCCCGAGCGUUGUCCGGAUUUAUUGGGCGUAAAGCGAGCGCAGGCGGUUAGAUAAGUCUGAAGUUAAAGGCUGUGGCUUAACCAUAGUAGGCUUUGGAAACUGUUUAACUUGAGUGCAAGAGGGGAGAGUGGAAUUCCAUGUGUAGCGGUGAAAUGCGUAGAUAUAUGGAGGAACACCGGUGGCGAAAGCGGCUCUCUGGCUUGUAACUGACGCUGAGGCUCGAAAGCGUGGGGAGCAAACAGGAUUAGAUACCCUGGUAGUCCACGCUGUAAACGAUGAGUGCUAGGUGUUAGACCCUUUCCGGGGUUUAGUGCCGUAGCUAACGCAUUAAGCACUCCGCCUGGGGAGUACGGUCGCAAGAUUA